rnacentral:rRNA from 1 species
GAUGAACGCUGGCGGCGUGCCUAAUACAUGCAAGUCGAGCGAACAGACGAGGAGCUUGCUCCUCUGACGUUAGCGGCGGACGGGUGAGUAACACGUGGAUAACCUACCUAUAAGACUGGGAUAACUUCGGGAAACCGGAGCUAAUACCGGAUAAUAUAUUGAACCGCAUGGUUCAAUAGUGAAAGACGGUUUUGCUGUCACUUAUAGAUGGAUCCGCGCCGCAUUAACUAGUUGGUAAGGUAACGGCUUACCAAGGCAACGAUGCGUAGCCGACCCGAGAGGGUGAUCGGCCACACUGGAACUGAGACACGGUCCAGACUCCUACGGGAGGCAGCAGUAGGGAAUCUUCCGCAAUGGGCGAAAGCUUGACGGAGCAACGCCGCGUGAGUGAUGAAGGUCUUCGGAUCGUAAAACUCUGUUAUUAGGGAAGAACAAAUGUGUAAGUAACUAUGCACGUCUUGACGGUACCUAAUCAGAAAGCCACGGCUAACUACGUG